rnacentral:rRNA from 1 species
AUUUGCCUUUAGGAGGGGGACAACAACUGGAAACGGUUGCUAAUACCCCAUAUGCUUUUGAGUGAAACGGAUUAUUCCGCCUAAAGAGAAGCUUGCGGCUGAUUAGCUUGUUGGUGAGGUAAUGGCUCACCAAGGCGACGAUCAGUAUCUGGUUUGAGAGGACGAUCAGACACACUGGAACUGAGACACGGUCCAGACUCCUACGGGAGGCAGCAGUAGGGAAUUUUCCGCAAUGGGCGAAAGCCUGACGGAGCAAUACCGCGUGAGGGAUGAAUGCCUAUGGGUUGUAAACCUCUUUUUUCAGGGAGGAAUAAAUGACGUGUACCUGAAGAAUAAGCAUCGGCUAACUCCGUGCCAGCAGCCGCGGUAAGACGGAGGAUGCAAGUGUUAUCCGGAAUCACUGGGCGUAAAGUGUCUGUAGGUGGUCAAAUAAGUCAACUGUUAAAUCUUGAGGCUUAACCUCAAAACCGCAGUCGAAACUAUUAGACUAGAGUAUAGUAGAGGUAAAGGGAAUUUCCAGUGGAGCGGUGAAAUGCGUAGAGAUUGGAAAGAACACCGAUGGCGAAGGCACUUUACUGGGCUAUUACUGACACUCAGAGACGAAAGCUAGGGUAGCAAAUGG